AAGUUUGAUUUUAGCUUAUAAAUUCAUUAUUAAUUUAAUUUACAUGUAAAUUUUUGUAUGAAUAUUUAUUUAUUUUAAUAAUAAAUAAAUUUUUAUAUUCGCAGUAAUUAAUAUUAUAAAUUAAAGAAAUUUAGAAAUAGUAAUAUUAAAAAGUAUUGGCUAAAUUUGUGCCAGCAGUCGCGGUUAUACUAAUGAUGCAAAUGAAUUUUUUUAAUUAAAGUUAAAUUGUUUAUAUUUAAAAUUAAAAUAAAUUUAUUAGGUGAAAUUUUAAAUUUUUAAUAUUUUUAAUAAAAUAAUUAAAGCUUAAAAAUUUUAGUAAUAAACUAGGAUUAGAUACCCUAUUAUUUAAAAUGUAAAUUAUCAAAAUUAAAGUAGUAAUAGUUAUGUUCUUGAAACUUAAAAAAUUUGGCGGUAUUUUAGUCUAUUCAGAGGAACCUGUUCUAUAAUCGAUAUUCCACGAUGAACCUUACUUAAAUUUGUAUUCAGUUUAUAUACCGUCGUUAUUAGAAUAUUUUAUAAGAAUGUUAAUUUUCAUAAUUUUUAAUAAGAAAAUAUAUCAGAUCAAGGUGUAGCUAAUAUUUAAGUAGAAAUGGGUUACAAUAAAUUUAUUUAAACGGAUUUAAAAAUGAAAUUUUUUAAAAAAGGUGGAUUUGAUAGUAAAAUUAUAAAGAUUAAUAAUUUGAUUUUAGUUCUAAAAUAUGUACACAUCGCCCGUCACUCUUAUUAUUAAGGUAAGAUAAGUCGUAACAUAGUAGAUGUACCGGAAGGUGUCUCUAGAAUGC
rnacentral:ncRNA from 1 species